rnacentral:lncRNA from 1 species
CCCACCCAGCAGGCAGCUCCGCCUACCUUGGCUAUCCCCCUCUGAGUUCUUGACUUGAUUCUCCUGUUAUUGUCCUGCAAACCCACAUCCCUACAAAGCGGGAAAGUGUGCCUGGGAGAGGCCAUGUGAGUGGCGAGCCAGCCCAAAGCCAGGCGUCCAGGGUCUCCCUCACCUGAAGCUGACUUUUUCCCCAUCUUGGACAGAGGGCGGGAGAUGCCAUCCCCACUGAACCCAGUGCUUUCACCAGCCAUAUUAGCUCCCACCCACCCCCGCCGUGGAAGCCUCGGCUGUCACACCUGCAGGGCCGGGGCGUGCAUGGCCUCAGGGAUGGCCUGUUCAGCUGCUGAGUGACUCGGGUCCGGUGCCUCACCACCUGCUGAGCUCUGUGUGCUUUCUGGGCACUUCUGCUCAUUGCCUUUGGGCUCAGUGAAGAGUCUGGAGUUUAUGUGGAGUGAGGUGGUCGGGUCUUGGUGAGAUCUGAGCAGGACAGCAUCUGGCUCCUUCCCUUGGCUCAUGGCCCUCAGGGUCUGCGUCACACACACCCCAGCUCUCCCGACGGGUCUCUGCACUCGCUGUUGCCUCCGCCUGGAAGUCUUCCUCCUGGUGUCAUCGUCUCCGUGGUGCAUCCUUCCUGAUGUUCCACCUCCACCAGGUGCCGACACUUCCCUGACGCUGGUAUCCUCUUCUCGCGGAAUGGGGAGAAUCGUGCCUGCCCAGCCUCCUCCUUGGGGACCAAGAGGCCUAAAGAAUCAAGAGCUGCAAAUGUCCUCGUGGCCUUGGAAGUUUGUGGAUGGUACAGAUCUGGGGUGGAGGGCAUGCCCAAGACAGGGAGGGCUGUCGGGGAGAGGGUGUGUGGGCUUGUGGAGUGUGGGGUUCCGUCGCUGACUCAUUAGAUGAACCAGGGGCCUGCAUGCUGCAGCCCACCUGCCAAAUCUCACCG